AACGAACGCUGGCGGCAUGCCUAACACAUGCAAGUCGAACGAGACCUUCGGGUCUCGUGGCGCAAGGGUGCGUAACGCGUGGGAACCGGCCCCUAGGUUCGGAAUAACUCCCCGAAAGGGGUGCUAAUAACGGACAAUGUCUUCGGACCAAAGAUUGAUCGCCGCUGGAUGGGCCCGCGUUGGAUUAGCUAGUUGGUAGAGUAACAGCCUACCAAGGCUACGAUCCAUAGCUGGUCUGAGAGGAUGAUCAGCCACACUGGGACUGAGACACGGCCCAGACUCCUACGGGAGGCAGCAGUGGGGAAUAUUGGACAAUGGGCGAAAGCCUGAUCCAGCAAGGGCGCGUGAGUGAUGAAGGCCUUAGGGUUGUAAAGCUCUUUUACCCGGGAUGAUAAUGACAGUACCGGGAGAAUAAGCUCCGGCUAACUCCGUG
rnacentral:rRNA from 1 species